rnacentral:rRNA from 1 species
UCGGGAUAACACCUAGGAAACAGAUGCUAAUACCGGAUAACAACAGAUGAUGCCUAUCAACUAGUUUAAAGAUGGUUCUGCUAUCACUCUUGGAUGGACCUGCGGUGCAUUAGCUAGUUGGUAGGGUAACGGCCUACCAAGGCGAUGAUGCAUAGCCGAGUUGAGAGACUGAUCGGCCACAUUGGGACUGAGACACGGCCCAAACUCCUACGGGAGGCAGCAGGC